GGUAAUGUACCCAAGCGGUCAACGGGGCCCGACUUAAGAUCGUGUGCUAUAUGCUUCGUGGGUUCGAAUCCCUCCAUUACCACCA
rnacentral:tRNA from 1 species